CCUACGGGAGGCAGCAGUGAGGAAUAUUGGGCAAUGCCCGAAAGGGUGACCCAGCAACGCCGCGUGGAGGAUGAAGUCCUUCUGGACGUAAACUCCUUUUAGAGGGGACGAAAAGCCCGAUUUGUCGGGAAUUGACGGUACCCUCAGAAAAAGCACCGGCUAACUACGUGCCAGCAGCCGCGGUAAUACGUAGGGUGCAAGCGUUGUCCGGAUUCACUGGGUGUAAAGGGUGCGCAGGCGGGCUCUUAAGUCAAAGGUAAAAUCUCUCGGCUUAACCGAGAAAUUGCCUUUGAUACUGAGAGCCUGGAGUACGGGAGAGGGAGAUGGAAUUCCAGGGGUAGCGGUAAAAUGCGUAGAUAUCUGGAGGACCACCGGAGGCGAAGGCGGUCUCCUGGCCCGUUACUGACGCUCAGGCACGAAAGCGUGGGGAGCAAACAGGAUUAGAUACCCCUGUAGU
rnacentral:rRNA from 1 species